GAUGAACGCUGGCGGCGUGCCUAAUACAUGCAAGUCGAGCGAACAGACGAGGAGCUUGCUCCUCUGACGUUAGCGGCGGACGGGUGAGUAACACGUGGAUAACCUACCUAUAAGACUGGGAUAACUUCGGGAAACCGGAGCUAAUACCGGAUAAUAUAUUGAACCGCAUGGUUCAAUAGUGAAAGACGGUUUUGCUGUCACUUAUAGAUGGAUCCGCGCCGCAUUAGCUAGUUGGUAAGGUAACGGCUUACCAAGGCAACGAUGCGUAGCCGACCUGAGAGGGUGAUCGGCCACACUGGAACGGAGACCCGGUCCAGACUCCUACGGGAGGCAGCAGUAGGGAAUCUUCCGCAAUGGGCGAAAGCCUGACGGAGCAACGCCGCGUGAGUGAUGAAGGUCUUCGGAUCGUAAAACUCUGUUAUUAGGGAAGAACAAAUGUGUAAGUAACUAUGCACGUCUUGACGGUACCUAAUCAGAAAGCCACGGCUAACUACGUG
rnacentral:rRNA from 1 species